AAGAGACAGCAGCAGCCGCGGUAAUACGAAGGGGGCUAGCGUUGCUCGGAAUGACUGGGCGUAAAGGGCGCGUAGGCGGCGAUCAAAGUCAGGCGUGAAAUUCCUGGGCUCAACCUGGGGGCUGCGCUUGAUACUGGGUUGCUUGAGUGGGGAAGAGGGUCGUGGAAUUCCCAGUGUAGAGGUGAAAUUCGUAGAUAUUGGGAAGAACACCGGUGGCGAAGGCGGCGACCUGGUCCUUUACUGACGCUGAGGCGCGAAAGCGUGGGGAGCAAACAGGAUUAGAUACCCCCGUAGUCCCUGUCUCUUAUAC
rnacentral:rRNA from 1 species